rnacentral:lncRNA from 1 species
CAUGACCAGUGCGUGGGCUCGGGCGGCCCAUUUGCACGCGAUCGCGCUGCGUCGCCGUCGCCCGUGUUGUCGGUGUCCUUGCCGUCGCCAUCGUCGUUAUUGUUAUUGCUCUCGUCUGCAACACUAUGAUAGCCAGUGCGCUGACCAAAUGCAGGGUCACGCAAGAGACGCAACGUUGACACGUGCCCACCGGCAAAGGCCUUGUCGACGGCCGACGACGAGCGCCACGCGCUGGGUCCAACGUCUGGUCGUCUCGACAGCCAUUCGAGGAUGUGGUUAUGGCCUGCGCCCGCGGCGGCAUCGAUGGCUGCACGGACCAGACCGGCGGACGGGCCAUGCCAAUGCGGUCGCUCCAACAGAUGGUCGAGAAUCGCUGUGUGGCCGGCGGCGGCAGCGGCCUGCACAACGCACUCGCCCAGCCUUACAUAUGGACGACGUCGCAAGACCAAAUCAAUGACGGGCAGGUGGCCGUUACUAGCGGCGGCCGUCAGGAUGCCAUCUAGAUAUGAUUCUGUGGCAUCGUAGAGGACCGAGUCCACCUCGCCAAUCACUUGGACGUGUCCGGCAGCCGCCGCAAAUUCGACAGCGUCGCGGAUGCGCCCCUUUCGGUGCCUGGCGCGCACGAUGUCCGCCGGUUGAUGUCCCGUUGCUGUCGACUGAGGCGCAUGGUUGAUGCAAAAGCGCGCGGCGCCGACGUGGCCGUUGGCGACAGCGGCAAAGGUCAUAUCGUCAAUGUACUCGUCAAAAGUCGCCCGAUGGUGUUUGCGCAGCAUCGAUAAAACUGCCGUAUGGCCGCCGCGGGCCGCGCCGAUAAAGACGCUCAUCGACGGGGUGUAACGCAUCGUUGAUCGCGCCCAAAUGCGCUCAGCGACAUCCAUGCGACCAUGGGCGAGCGCGGCGUCGGCAGCGCGGUGCAGGCCCUCGACGCAAUCGGCCAGACGGUGGUCCAGGAGAAAGAGAACCACAUCAAAGUGCCCGCCGUCGGCGGCGUCCACGAUGGCGCGGCCCGUGCAGCCUUCUGUGCGUUUCUCGUCGAGGUAGGCCACGGCGUCAAGAUGGCCGUUGGCUGCCGCCGCGUCCAUGGCCCGACGGUCGCCCGGUUGGACCGUGGGACAGUCCUCGGUGAGUGUGCGCAGCAUGCCCACGUCACCGUUGGCCGCUGCUGUUGCGAGGGCCAGCGGUGUCGAACCUUCGGUGCGGUGUGCCAGCAGGUAAGCGACAACGUCUCGAUGACCGUUGGCGGCCGCGCGAUUCACCGCACCGACAGAGCAACCCUCGGUGCGAUUCUCGUGCAAGUAGACUACCACGUCAAAGUGCCCAUUGGCCGCUGCAUAGUCCAUGGCCCUGCGGGUGCAACCCUCCCGACGGUUGCGAUGGAGAAAGUCGACCAAAUCGAGGCGCCCGUGGGCGGCCGCACGAUUCAUGGCAUAGGUCGUGCAGCCUCCCUUGCGGUGGCCGUGCAGAAAGAUUGCUAUGUCGAGGUGACCAUCGUCGACGGCGCAGUCCAUGACUCCCGGUGCCGAGUCGAAACCGGGCGCGUCCAACUCGUGUAGGGCGAUGAUCAACCCCAAAUGGCCACGGUGUGCGGCCAAAAAGGGCGCCGACUCAUAGUCGGCCAGGUCCAUGCGGCCGAGCGCCACCAGGCCGCGGACGGCCGUGGCGUUGCCGGUCUCGAGGAGGUCGAGCGGACCCGACCAGCCGCGCGAGGCUACAAUGCGGCGCGCAUAAUCGGCCGGCGAGUAGACGUGCCACAGUCGCGACGCUGCCGCGCACGCGCAAAAGUCGACAUUGUCCAAAAGACCGAGUAUCCGAUCGAUGACUUCGGCGGGCAUGUCCCCAAGGCCCAGCGGCACCUCGGCCGUACUCUCCAUUUUUUUCCUUUUGUACUUUUUUGCCCUCUUACUUUGUCUUUUUCUCUUUCUUUUUUACC